rnacentral:rRNA from 1 species
UACGGAGGGUGCGAGCGUUAAUCGGAAUUACUGGGCUUAAAGCGCACGUAGGCGGUCAGGCAAGUCGGGUGUGAAAGCCCUGGGCUCAACCUGGGAAUUGCAUUCGAAACUAUCUGACUCGAGUAUGGGAGAGGGAAGCGGAAUUUCCGGUGUAGCGGUGAAAUGCGUAGAUAUCGGAAGGAACACCAGUGGCGAAGGCGGCUUCCUGGACUAAUACUGACGCUGAGGUGCGAAAGCGUGGGGAGCAAACAGG